rnacentral:rRNA from 1 species
GAUGAACGCUGGCGGCGUGCCUAAUACAUGCAAGUCGAGCGAAUAGAUGAGGAGCUUGCUCCUCUGACGUUAGCGGCGGACGGGUGAGUAACACGUGGAUAACCUACCUAUAAGACUGGGAUAACUUCGGGAAACCGGAGCUAAUACCGGAUAAUAUAUUGAACCGCAUGGUUCAAUAGUGAAAGACGGUUUUGCUGUCACUUAUAGAUGGAUCCGCGCCGCAUUAGCUAGUUGGUAAGGUAACGGCUUACCAAGGCAACGAUGCGUAGCCGACCUGAGAGGGUGAUCGGCCACAUUGGAACUGAGCCACGGUCCAGACUCCUACGGGAGGCAGCAGUAGGGAAUCUUCCGCAAUGGGCGAAAGCCUGACGGAGCAACGCCGCGUGAGUGAUGAAGGUCUUCGGAUCGUAAAACUCUGUUAUUAGGGAAGAACAAAUGUGUAAGUAACUAUGCACGUCUUGACGGUACCUAAUCAGAAAGCCACGGCUAACUACGUG